AGUUCUGAUGCACCGAUUUUUGCAGGUGGAGAACGAGGAGACAUGAGGCACAAAAGUGCCCAUACAAAAGCGCUGUUGGACUGGCUCCAGCAGCGCUUUUUA
rnacentral:ncRNA from 22 species